rnacentral:sRNA from 1 species
AAAUAUUGCUUGUUUUAUUUAUAACACAAUAUUUUUUUUUUAUCAAAUUCACAUUUUGUCAAAACAUCAAACCGUUUGUAUUUACAUGUAUUUUAAACAUUUACUUUAGUACAUAUUUUUAUGUAUUGUCAAGAUUGAUCCAUUAGUGAGGAAAGAUAAAGUGUCCUAUUGACCACUUCUUAAAGAUUAUACUUGUUGAUGCGAAGAAAACAAAUGCCAUAUUUAAUGAAACUAAGCUUUAUUAAUAUUUUUUGUUAUUAUUUUGUAUUUAUGAUUGCAAAUUAUUGAUAAUAACUGGUAUCAUAUAUGUGGUUUUUUAUUUUAGUAUACAUGUACUAACAUUUAUAUUUUUUCACUUUUCGUCGAAUACAUUAAAUAAACCUUUUUUCUGUUUCUGUGACGAAAUCCCAAAUCAUCGUAAAUCAGUGUUCCACAUACUGCAGGUUCAAUUGUCGAUUCUGAUUUUCAAUUUUGAUUUACAGAUAAAUUGAAUGUACAUUUUGUUUUCAAAUAUACUCUUUGAGCACUCAAAAACUAUGCAGGGAUUCUAUUGUUGUGUGUUUAUUUAAGCUUUAAACUGUUCCUUCGUUAUUAUUAUUUACCAUUUACUCUCUUAUCAAACAUACCGGAGACAAUCAUAUUGUAAACAAUAAUUACUUAAUAAAGCAUAUCAAUGAAGUUAU